UACGGGGGGGGCAAGCGUUGUUCGGAAUUACUGGGCGUAAAGGGCCAGUAGGCGGCCAACUAAGUCCGACGUGAAAUCCCAAGGCUUAACCUUGGAACUGCGUCGGAUACUGGAUGGCUUGAAUUCGGGAGAGGGAUGCAGAAUUCCAGGUGUAGCGGUGAAAUGCGUAGAUAUCUGGAGGAAUACCGGUGGCGAAGGCGGGUCUCUGGACAGUUCCUGACGCUGAGGCACGAAGGCCAGGGGAGCAAACGGG
rnacentral:rRNA from 1 species